rfam:Ceraceosorus bombacis genome assembly, contig: Scaffold_248
GCAUCUAUGGGUUAGUGGUAUACUGCUCGCUUGCCAUUUCAUGCACUGACCACAAGUGCGCGGAAUCAACUUGCGGGCGACACGGGUUCGAUUCCCGUUGGAUGCA